rnacentral:guide_RNA from 1 species
ACAAAAAUCCGAUAAGAAGCAGAGACUGAGUAAUGAAUGUGAAAUUU